rnacentral:rRNA from 1 species
UACGUAGGGUGCGAGCGUUGUCCGGAAUUAUUGGGCGUAAAGAGCUCGUAGGCGGCUUGUCGCGUCGGAUGUGAAAGCCCGGGGCUUGACUCCGGGUCUGCAUUCGAUACGGGCAGGCUAGAGUUCGGUAGGGGAGAUCGGAAUUCCUGGUGUAGCGGUGAAAUGCGCAGAUAUCAGGAGGAACACCGGUGGCGAAGGCGGAUCUCUGGGCCGAUACUGACGCUGAGGAGCGAAAGCGUGGGGAGCGAACAGG